GAACAGCAGGACAGCCCAUAGCCAGGUUCUGUUGGCAUUUAUUCAUUUUAGGUAGCAAAUAUUUUCAGCUCUACAUCAGUAUAUUUAUUACACAGAUAAAUAUAAUAAAUAAGAAAACAAAAUGUAGAAUUUAUCUACAUUUUGGAAACAGUGUAAACAAGGAAAAUCUUGGCACCAAAUUCUUGAUCUAUGGAUAAACAACAAAAACAGCAAAACUAAUUUAAGGCGAAAGAUAAUCUGAAAUGAGCUGAUUUUUAUUAGGCUCCUUUUUCUCUUUCAAUAGAAGACAUUAAUAAACAUUAAUAAAUCUAGUGUUUUCUAUUACUAGGAAAAUAAAGACAAAGACUUAGACUUAGUACUUAACAAUCAAGUGAAAGAGGAGUUAAAUUUAAACAAUUGAGUUUAAAAAAAUGAUUCCAUCUUUUUUUCUUGGAAAUACGUAUUGUGUUUUCCUCUGGGCCUCCUCAGAUAGACUGAAGUGCUUCUGCUGGCCCAGGGACUCACUUUAUCAAUGUCAAGUUUUUUUGUGUUCAUCUGAUAGGCACUGCCAUUCUGGUUAGGAUGCCUGCCUGAGUUUUGAGGAUCCUCCUGGGUUGCUGGCACUACAUGAGUAUUCUGUCAUUAUUGGUUCAUAUGUUUUGUCAUGGCUUAAUAUCUGUGAAAUAACUUGUGUGUCCUCAAAGCUCACUUUUAAAUCUAAUUUUUAAACAUCUAUUGAAUUAUUUAAAUAAUUUUUAAAAAGCUCUGUAAACAAUGAAGGUUUUUAGAAUUUAAUGGGCAAACCGAUUUACUAUUUAAAUCCUUAAUUAAAUAUUGGACCACUUUAAUAAAGUAGCCACCACACAAAGAAUACUGAAUAAGAUAUUUGGGGAUAUAAAAAAGGGGGUGACAAAAAUCCCUCAUUAAAAUGACCAGCUUGUCUGUUGUAGUAAACAGCAAGACUAUGUAAAUAAUGCUCUGAUUCCCAAUUAUUGAAGCUUGGGUAUAAGGUUUAACCAUAGAAUGAGAAAUCAAAGUUCUCUGACAAAUGCCAUAUUACUCAGCAAUUAAAAAAUUAAUCUUGUCAUCGGCAAUAAUAUGGAUGGGCCUGGAGGUAUGCUGAGUGAAAUAAGUCAGACAGAAAGAAAAAUGCCAUAUGAUUUAACUUAUAUGUGGAUAUACUAAAAACAAAACAAAACAAAACAAAAAACAGUAAACAGAUCAGAAACAAACUCAGACACAGAGAACAUUUUGCCAGUUGCCAGUUGGGAGGGGGACUGAGGAGAAGGGUGAAAAUAGUGAAGGGAUUAAGAAGUACAAAUCGGUAGUUACAGAAUAGUCAUGGGAAAGUAAAUUAGAGCAUAGGGAAUAAAUAUGGUCAAUAAUAUUGUGAUAACUAUAUAUAGUGUCAGAUAGGUACUGGCUUUAUCGGGAUAAUCACUUUGUAAGUUCUAUAAAUGUAGAACAUUAGGGUCGUACACCUGAAACUAAUACAAUAUUGUACAUCAAGUAUAAUUGAAAAAUAAACAAUUAAAAAAAAAAAAGCUAAAAAUUUAGAGAAUCUAGUUAGCUUUGCAAGUAAUUCCAAUAACCAGAAAAAUGUUCCCUCAUUUCCCCGCUGGCUUCCAUACUCUCUAUAGGGAGUGUUCCCCUUCCCCUCUGAGCCCUUUGGCAGUGAGAGGUUUCCUCACCUGCUGAGGAGGAGUCAAUGGCCAGAGGAGGAGUGUCCUCUGCGGCUAUGACAGGAGGGAGUGAUAGGCUUCAGGCAGUUAGGGAAACAGUAAAAGUAUUACCUGGACACACAUGUAUGAAAGAUCAUUCUGGAGGUGGAAAGCUUUGGCGCCUAGAAAGGAAGGAUGGAAGUUCAGGGGAAAUGGAAUAGUAUUGGGAUAUGGUCAUUAAAGAAGUGGGGUAGAGUAGGUUGGAUGCAGCAGAACAAGGAACUUUAGGGAAAUGUUUUACAGUAGCUGCCCAAAAAGGGAACUGGGAUCUUGGCAGUCUGCCUAGUCAAGGGCUUGAAUUUCUCAGAUGCAGCAGAUUUGCAGGAUCAACAUUUGUAAGUCAGGCUCUGCCUGUAUAGGGUUUCCUUUUAUUGACACUUCCUUUUGAUUGUAAUAUCAUUAGGAACUAUUUAAAUGUCCAUAGAUACAUGGAUCAGUUUUUAAAAUGUUACUUUUGGCCCUGGCUAAGUUGGUUGGACACCAAAAGAUUGUGGGUUCAAUUCUAGGCACAUAGUUAGGUUGCUGGUUUGAUUUUACAGAUAGAAGAAGAGUUAAUUUUUCAGUUUGUUCAGCUUUUUACUUGCUAGGACGGAAUGAAGACAUCUAUAUCCUUACUUGCUAGAUUGGAAACCGGAACUGUGAUGGUCAACUUUAUAUGCCUUGAGAAUUUUAAUUUUAGAAACAAAUUCCCUGCUCUAGUUAGAGAAAGUGGAGAAUAUUGAGAGAUUGGGGAGAAAGAGAAUAGACUUGAAAGGAAGGGCAUUACUAGUAUACUGAGUCUAAAGUACACUUGAGAGAAAGUGGAUGAUUAUACUUUUUACCCUACAUAUUAAUUGCUGAGUGAUCUUAAAUACAUUAAAACAUUUUCCCAGGUCUUAAUUUUCCUCAUUAACUUGUUGCAAGGUUUACUCAAGUAGACUUUCCUCUUUUUUUUUUCUUCUUUCCCUUUUCCUUUCUCUUUCCUUUUCUCCUUUGUUUUGUCCUCCUUCCUAUAACAUCCACCAGGUCAGAAAUGCAAAGAUAAUUCAUAUUUUUUCCAAGUCUCAAAUUCUAAAAGAAAAACUAGAUAAAAUACUCUGUCGUAAUCACUUAUUUGCACAAUUCCUACAACAGUGGUACAAAGAGAGGAGAAGAAAAUUGAGAGAAGAGGAUGGUCAGAAAAGGUUUCACAAUUAAGAAACAUGGGGUUAGACUCUUAAGAAAGGAGAAACCAUUUUCCUGGUUUAACAGAAGGGGAGAAUUCUAUAUAGUGGAACUAUGUAAAGACUGCCAAUCAUAGAACUGUUCUGUUCAGUUUGGUUUCAUGGGUAUGCUAUGUGGGUUUAGAGAAAUGAGUUUGUAGAAAGAGGCAGUUGUCAAAUCUGGGCAGGCCAUAUUUGCCACAUUAGGAUAUCUGGUCUUUAUCCAAUAGGUCUGACCCACCAGUGAGCAUAGAAACAUCUUUAAAAGAUUAAUCUUUUUUAAUGAUCUUUUGACUUCACUAUGGAGAGCAGUAAGGUUAGGAGAAAGGAAGAGCAGUGUUAAUACUAUUACAGCAAUCUGGGGAAGUGAUGGUGAGGACAUUGCCAGAGUAGACAGAGAUGAGCCUUAGAUUAUAGGAUCUAGAAUAUAUAGUAACUGCAUAUCAGGCAAGAUGAAGGAACUGAGGGUGGCGAUCAGGUUAGAUGUGUUGUUAACUAAAAGGAGGAAUGGAGAGGAAUGUGGUAUUUAAGUUGCCUAGAGGAUAUUCAGCUGAUUAUCCUCAGUAAACAGUUGACUAAGUCAAUCUGGAGCUUUUAGCAUAUUCUGAGUUGGAGACUGAGGUUUGGUGGUGUAAAUACGAACUGUGUUCCAUUGACUGGCAUAGUAGGUCUGAGGAAAACAUGUAGA